ACACUACCAAUUUCUUGACUUGUAUUUUCAGCAUAAUUGGCCUUCUCUUCAAUCCUUACUUUUUCACUUCUGCACUCGGAAGCAUAGUGCCCAAAUUUAUGGCAAUUAUAACACUUUAUUGAGAUUUAUCGUACCUCGACUGCGGGUUGCUCCUCCCCCGACCACUUGUAAACUCAUUUCUUUCACCACUGUUGACGAAGCCUCCUCGUCCUCGACCACGUCCACGUCCAUGUCCUCGGCCUCUGCCUCGAUCUUGUCCUUGGCCACGUCCUCUCCCGGACUAUCCAUGGCCAUUGCUCGGACCUUCUUCUUUCUCUUUCGGGCUUACGUGCAACUUUAAAAGUUGCUCUGAAAUUUCUUGCUUCUUCUUUUGCUUCUCCUCAUAUGCUUGCAGCGACCCCAACAAGAGAUCGAUCGUCAUCUCCUCCAAAUUUUUAGUUUCUUCAAUUGUGAUUACUAUAUGCUCAAAUCUUGGAGUUAGUGAGCGUAAUAUUUUCUCCAUAAUUCUAACAUCCUCCAAUUUUUCACCAUUUCUUUUCAUUUGAUUAGACACCGCCAACACUCUUGAAAAAUAAUCCGAAAUUGACUCGGACUCUUUCAUAUGCAAAGACUCAAACUCUCCUCUUAAAGUUUGAAGUCGUACCUUUUUUACUUGUUCCGCUCCUUUGCACGCGUUCUGGAGCUUCUCCCAUGCUUCCUUGGCGGUGCUCGCGUUUGAGAUUUUCUCGAAAUCGUCG
rnacentral:lncRNA from 1 species